GAGUGACCGCCUCCUGAUCAGAGGGGGGAAGAUCGUGAACGAUGACCAGUCCUUUCACGCUGACCUGUAUGUGGAGGACGGCCUGAUAAAACAAAUUGGAGAAAACCUCAUCGUCCCUGGGGGCAUCAGAACCAUUGAUGCCCACGGCCUGCUGGUCCUGCCAGGCGGAGUCGACGUCCACACGCGGCUGCUGAUGCCCGUGCUGGGCAUGACCCCCGCCGACGACUUCUGCCAGGGGACCAAGGCCGCCCUGGCGGGGGGCACCACCAUGAUAUUGGACCACGUGUUCCCCGAGGCGGGGGUGAGCCUGCUGGCGGCCUACGAGCAGUGGCGGGAGCGAGCGGACGGUGGGGCCUGCUGCGACUACUCCCUGCAUGUGGACAUCCCCCGCUGGCACGAGAGCACCAGGG